rnacentral:rRNA from 1 species
GCAGUCGAGCGGUAGAGAGGUGCUUGCACCUCUUGAGAGCGGCGGACGGGUGAGUAAAGCCUAGGAAUCUGCCUGGUAGUGGGGGAUAACGCUCGGAAACGGACGCUAAUACCGCAUACGUCCUACGGGAGAAAGCAGGGGACCUUCGGGCCUUGCGCUAUCAGAUGAGCCUAGGUCGGAUUAGCUAGUUGGUGAGGUAAUGGCUCACCAAGGCGACGAUCCGUAACUGGUCUGAGAGGAUGAUCAGUCACACUGGAACUGAGACACGGUCCAGACUCCUACGGGAGGCAGCAGUGGGGAAUAUUGGACAAUGGGCGAAAGCCUGAUCCAGCCAUGCCGCGUGUGUGAAGAAGGUCUUCGGAUUGUAAAGCACUUUAAGUUGGGAGGAAGGGCAUUAACCUAAUACGUUAGUGUUUUGACGUUACCGACAGAAUAAGCACCGGCUAACUCUGUGCCAGCAGCCGCGGUAAUACAGAGGGUGCAAGCGUUAAUCGGAAUUACUGGGCGUAAAGCGCGCGUAGGUGGUUCGUUAAGUUGGAUGUGAAAUCCCCGGGCUCAACCUGGGAACUGCAUUCAAAACUGUCGAGCUAGAGUAU